AGUUAUGUAUAUUAAGGUAAAAAAUGCAGUUAAGUACAAAGUUAAUUAAAGAUUUAUUCAUUCCUUAUAAAAAGGUAAAAUUUAGAUAUAAGCGAAUAAUCUGGUAUAAAUCAAUUGAAAUUGAAGCUGCGACAGCCUUGAGGGAAACUGGGAUUAGAUACCCCAUUAUUCUUGGUCGUAAAUAAAUAGAGAUUUACCGGAGUACUAUGAAUCAAUUAAAUAAAAUUUAAAACUCAAAGGGCUUGGCGGUGUUUUAGACCUCUCAGGGGAACCUGUCUCAUAAUCGACAAUCCACGUUAAACCUAACCUCUAUUAGCAACUCAGUAUGUAUACCGUCGUCGUCAGGUAACUUUUAAAAAAGAAGAAGUUGGCAAAAAAAUUAGUUAAAUUUAAACGUCAGAUCAAGGUGCAGCUUAUAUAGGGGUGAGGAUGGGUUACAAUUAAAAUUUAUAAUUACGGAUAGGAUGCUGAAACUGGCUUCCUAAUGAAGGAGGACUUGAAAGUAAAGUAAAUUUAUAUAAAAAUAGUUUGAAUGAGG
rnacentral:rRNA from 1 species